AGAGUUUGAUCCUGGCUCAGGAUGAACGCUAGCUACAGGCUUAACACAUGCAAGUCGAGGGGCAGCAUGGUCUUAGCUUGCUAAGGCCGAUGGCGACCGGCGCACGGGUGAGUAACACGUAUCCAACCUGCCGUCUACUCUUGGACAGCCUUCUGAAAGGAAGAUUAAUACAAGAUGGCAUCAUGAGUCCGCAUGUUCACAUGAUUAAAGGUAUUCCGGUAGACGAUGGGGAUGCGUUCCAUUAGAUAGUAGGCGGGGUAACGGCCCACCUAGUCUUCGAUGGAUAGGGGUUCUGAGAGGAAGGUCCCCCACAUUGGAACUGAGACACGGUCCAAACUCCUACGGGAGGCAGCAGUGAGGAAUAUUGGUCAAUGGGCGCAGGCCUGAACCAGCCAAGUAGCGUGAAGGAUGACUGCCCUAUGGGUUGUAAACUUCUUUUAUAAAGGAAUAAAGUCGGGUAUGUAUACCCGUUUGCAUGUACUUUAUGAAUAAGGAUCGGCUAACUCCGUGCCAGCAGCCGCGGUAAUACGGAGGAUCCGAGCGUUAUCCGGAUUUAUUGGGUUUAAAGGGAGCGUAGAUGGAUGUUUAAGUCAGUUGUGAAAGUUUGCGGCUCAACCGUAAAAUUGCAGUUGAUACUGGAUAUCUUGAGUGCAGUUGAGGCAGGCGGAAUUCGUGGUGUAGCGGUGAAAUGCUUAGAUAUCACGAAGAACUCCGAUUGCGAAGGCAGCCUGCUAAGCUGCAACUGACAUUGAGGCUCGAAAGUGUGGGUAUCAAACAGGAUUAGAUACCCUGGUAGUCCACACGGUAAACGAUGAAUACUCGCUGUUUGCGAUAUACAGCAAGCGGCCAAGCGAAAGCGUUAAGUAUUCCACCUGGGGAGUACGCCGGCAACGGUGAAACUCAAAGGAAU
rnacentral:rRNA from 1 species